GGUAUUUUGACCGUGCAAAGGUAGCAUAAUCAUUAGUUUUUUAAUUGAAAGCUGGAAUGAAAGGUUGGAUGAGAAAUAAGCUGUCUCUAUUUAAUUUUAUUAGAAUUUUAUUUUUAAGUAAAAAAGCUUAAAUUUUAAUAGAAGACGAGAAGACCCUAUAGAGUUUUAUUUAUUUAUUAAAUAAGAUUAAUGGUAUUAAUUAUUUUUAUUUUGUAUAUAAAUUUAAUUGGGGUGAUUGAAAAAUUUAAUAAACUUUUUUUAUAUGUAAACAUUGAUAUAUGAUUAAUUGAUCCUUAAUUUAAGAUUAAAAGAUAAAAUUACCUUAGGGAUAACAGCGUAAUUUUUUUUGAGAGUUCAAAUCGAAAAAAAAGAUUGCGACCUCGAUGUUGGAUUAAAAUAAAAUUUUGGUGUAGAAGCUAAAA
rnacentral:rRNA from 1 species